rnacentral:lncRNA from 1 species
AAAUUGUUGGCUACAGGGUUUUGGACCUGGGAUCUAGUCUCCAUUGUAAGCAUCUUCGAAGAUAUUUUCUGUAGAUAAUCAGACUGAAAUUAGGGAAUGCCACAAUAAAUUGUCAAUCUUCCAUAUUCAUGCAAUCACGAGGCAUCUAUAAAUCAAUAAUCACGAGGCAUCUAAUUAGAGAUGUACUUGGCUUGUUGCAGAAGUAAAAAUCUUGUCUUCAAACCGUCAGGCAAUCUUCCAAAGUUCAUGCAAUCCCUCUUCACCAGAAACAAGAAGAUGGCUUUUUAAUGUCUCCA